CUACGGGCUGCAGCAGCUGAGGAAAUUUUACAAUGCUCGUAAGAGUGAUAAAAUAAACCAGAGUGUUUUUCUAUGAAAAACUUUUGUCUGAUGUAAAAAGUCAGACGAAUAAGGACUGGGCAAGACCGGUGCCAGCCGCCGCGGUAAUACCGGCGGUCCGAGUCGCAUCCACAUUUAUUGGGUCUAAAACAUUCGUAGCUUGUUUUGUAAGUUUCUUGUGAAAUCUCAUGUCUCAAGCAUGAGGCGUGCAAGAAAUACUGCAUUACUAGAGACCGGAAGACGUAAGGAGUAUGAUUAAGGUAGUGGUAAAAUACGUUAAUCUUAAUCAGACUAACAAUGGCGAAGGCACCUUACGAGUACGGAUCUGACAGUGAGGGAUGAAGGCUAGGGGCGCGAAAGGGAUUAGAUACCCCAGUAGUC
rnacentral:rRNA from 1 species